AAUGGAUUUAUUUCCUCUUUAGA
rnacentral:tRNA from 1 species